AGUGAACGCUGGCGGUAGGCCUAACACAUGCAAGUCGAACGGCAGCACAGUAAGCGCUUGCUCUUACGGGUGGCGAGUGGCGGACGGGUGAGGCAUACAUCGGAAUCUACUUUUUCGUGGGGGAUAACGUAGGGCCACUUACGCUACUACCGCACACGACCUACGGGUGAAAGCAGGGGAUCUUCGGACCUUGCGCGACUGAAUGAGCCGAUGUCGGAUUAGCUAGUUGGCGGGGUAAAGGCCCACCAAGGCGACGAUCCGUAGCUGGUCUGAGAGGAUGAUCAGCCACACUGGAACUGAGACACGGUCCAGACUCCUACGGGAGGCAGCAGUGGGGAAUAUUGGACAAUGGGCGCAAGCCUGAUCCAGCCAUACCGCGUGGGUGAAGAAGGCCUUCGGGUUGUAAAGCCCUUUUGUUGGGAAAGAAAAGCAGCGGGUUAAUACCCCGCUGUUCUGACGGUACCCAAAGAAUAAGCACCGGCUAACUUCGUG
rnacentral:rRNA from 1 species